rnacentral:rRNA from 1 species
GACGAACGCUGGCGGCGUGCUUAACACAUGCAAGUCGAACGAUGAUGCCCAGCUUGCUGGGUGGAUUAGUGGCGAACGGGUGAGUAACACGUGAGUAACCUGCCCCUGACUCUGGGAUAAGCGUUGGAAACGACGUCUAAUACUGGAUAUGACUGCCGGCCGCAUGGUCUGGUGGUGGAAAGAUUUUUUUGGUUGGGGAUGGACUCGCGGCCUAUCAGCUUGUUGGUGAGGUAAUGGCUCACCAAGGCGACGACGGGUAGCCGGCCUGAGAGGGUGACCGGCCACACUGGGACUGAGACACGGCCCAGACUCCUACGGGAGGCAGCAGUGGGGAAUAUUGCACAAUGGGCGAAAGCCUGAUGCAGCAACGCCGCGUGAGGGAUGACGGCCUUCGGGUUGUAAACCUCUUUUAGUAGGGAAGAAGCGAAAGUGACGGUACCUGCAGAAAAAGCACCGGCUAACUACGUGCCAGCCGCCGCAGUAAUAC